AAAUUGAAGAGUUUGAUCAUGGCUCAGAUUGAACGCUGGCGGCAGGCCUAACACAUGCAAGUCGAACGGUAGCACAGAGAGCUUGCUCUCGGGUGACGAGUGGCGGACGGGUGAGUAAUGUCUGGGAAACUGCCCGAUGGAGGGGGAUAACUACUGGAAACGGUAGCUAAUACCGCAUAACGUCGCAAGACCAAAGUGGGGGACCUUCGGGCCUCACACCAUCGGAUGUGCCCAGAUGGGAUUAGCUAGUAGGUGGGGUAACGGCUCACCUAGGCGACGAUCCCUAGCUGGUCUGAGAGGAUGACCAGCCACACUGGAACUGAGACACGGUCCAGACUCCUACGGGAGGCAGCAGUGGGGAAUAUUGCACAAUGGGCGCAAGCCUGAUGCAGCCAUGCCGCGUGUAUGAAGAAGGCCUUCGGGUUGUAAAGUACUUUCAGCGAGGAGGAAGGCGUUGUGGUUAAUAACCACAGCGAUUGACGUUACUCGCAGAAGAAGCACCGGCUAACUCCGUGCCAGCAGCCGCGGUAAUACGGAGGGUGCAAGCGUUAAUCGGAAUUACUGGGCGUAAAGCGCACGCAGGCGGUUUGUUAAGUCAGAUGUGAAAUCCCCGGGCUCAACCUGGGAACUGCAUUUGAAACUGGCAAGCUUGAGUCUCGUAGAGGGGGGUAGAAUUCCAGGUGUAGCGGUGAAAUGCGUAGAGAUCUGGAGGAAUACCGGUGGCGAAGGCGGCCCCCUGGACAAAGACUGACGCUCAGGUGCGAAAGCGUGGGGAGCAAACAGGAUUAGAUACCCUGGUAGUCCACGCCGUAAACGAUGUCUACUUGGAGGUUGUGCCCUUGAGGCGUGGCUUCCGGAGCUAACGCGUUAAGUAGACCGCCUGGGGAGUACGGCCGCAAGGUUAAAACUCAAAUGAAUUGACGGGGGCCCGCACAAGCGGUGGAGCAUGUGGUUUAAUUCGAUGCAACGCGAAGAACCUUACCUGGUCUUGACAUCCACGGAAGUUUUCAGAGAUGAGAAUGUGCCUUCGGGAACCGUGAGACAGGUGCUGCAUGGCUGUCGUCAGCUCGUGUUGUGAAAUGUUGGGUUAAGUCCCGCAACGAGCGCAACCCUUAUCCUUUGUUGCCAGCGGUUAGGCCGGGAACU
rnacentral:rRNA from 1 species